GGCCUACCAUGGUGGUAACGGGUAACGGGGUGUUAGGGCACGACACCGGAGAGGGAGCCUGAGAAACGGCUACCACAUCCAAGGAUGGCAGCAGGCGCGCAAAUUACCCAAUCCCGACACGGGGAGGUAGUGACAAUAAAUAACAAUACGGGGUUCUUCGAAUCUCGUAAUUGGAAUGAGUACAAUUUAAAUCUCUUAACGAGGAACAAUUGGAGGGCAAGUCUGGUGCCAGCAGCCGCGGUAAUUCCAGCUCCAAUAGCGUAUAUUAAAGUUGUUGCAGUUAAAAAGCUCGUAGUUGAAUUUCGGGAUCAGCAGGUUGGUCUUGCCACUGGUAUGUACUAGCUUGCUGAUUCCUCCUUCUUGUAGAACCGUAAUGCCAUUAAUUUGGUGUUGCGGGGAAACAGGACUGUUACUUUGAAAAAAUUAGAGUGUUUAAAGCAGGCUAGCGCCUGAAUACAUUAGCAUGGAAUAAUGAAAUAGGACGUUCGAACCUAUUUUGUUGGUUUCUAGGAUUGACGUAAUGAUUAAUAGGGAUAGUUGGGGGCAUUAGUAUUCAAUUGUCAGAGGUGAAAUUCUUGGAUUUAUUGAAGACUGACUACUGCGAAAGCAUUUGCCAAGGAUGUUUUCAUUAAUCAAGAACGAAAGUUAGGGGAUCGAAGACGAUCAGAUACCGUCGUAGUCUUAACCAUAAACUAUGCCGACUAGGGAUCGGAUGAUGUUAAUUUUUUAAUGACUCAUUCGCGCCUUACG
rnacentral:rRNA from 1 species